rnacentral:rRNA from 1 species
AUACGGAGGGUGCAAGCGUUAUUCGGAAUCACUGGGCGUAAAGGACGCGUAGGCGGGUUGGCAAGUCAGAUGUGAAAUCAUACAGCUUAACUGUAGAACUGCAUUUGAAACUGCUAACCUAGAGUAUGGGAGGGGGAGAUGGAAUUAGUGGUGUAGGGGUAAAAUCCGUAGAUAUCACUAGGAAUACCGAAAGCGAAGGCGAUCUCCUGGAACAUAACUGACGCUAAGGCGUGAAAGCGUGGGGAGCAAACAGGAUUAGAUACCCUAGUAGUCC